AGUAACUGCGAGUGAAGUGGCAAAAGCUCAAAAUUGAAAUCCGGUACCUCUGGUGCCUGAGUUGUAAUUUGGAGAGACAAAUUUGGUUGACGGUGCCGGCCUAGGUUCCUUUGAACAGGACAACGCAGAGGGUGAGAAUCCCGUGCCUGGCUGGACUGCCGUCGCGCUUCUAAAUUGUCUUCGACGAGUCGAGUUGUUUGGGAAUGCAGCUCAAAAUGGGUGGUAAAUGUCAUCUAAAGCUAAAUAUUGGCGAGAGACCGAUAGCGCACAAGUAGAGUGAUCGAAAGAUGAAAAGCACUUUGAAAAGAGAGUCAAAAAGUACGUGAAAUUGCUGAAAGGGAAGCGCUUGAGACCAGACUCGAACCGUGGUGAUCAGCCGUGCUUCUGUGCGGUGUCACUUGCCACGGUUCGGGCCAGCAUCGGUUCUGGCGGCCGGAUAAAAGGCGGUGGAAUGUAGCUUCCUUUGGGGAGUGUUAUUAGCCCCCACCACAAUGCGGCCAGCCGGGACCGAGGACCGCGCGGGCUUCCCGCUAGGAUGCUGGCGUAAUGGUCUUAAGCGACCCGUCUUGAAACACGGACCAAGGAGUCUAACAUCUCUGCGAGUGUUCGGGUGGAAAACCCUUGCGCGAAAUGAAAGUGAACGGAGGUGGGAACCCGCAAGGGUGCACCAUCGACCGAUCCCGAAGUCUUCGGAAGGAUUUGAGUAGGAGCACAGAUGUUGGGACCCGAAAGAUGGUGAACUAUGCCUGAAUAGGGUGAAGCCAGAGG
rnacentral:rRNA from 1 species